rnacentral:rRNA from 1 species
AGGGUUUGAUUAUGGCUCAGAACGUACGCUGGCGGCACGCCUUAUACAUGCAAGUCGAACGAAGUAGCAAUACUUAGUGGCAGACGGGUGAGUAACAUGUAGGUAUCUUCCCUUUGGUGAGGAAUAACACGAGGAAACUUGUGCUAAUACCUCAUAAGUCUUUACAGAGAAAGCUUUAUGCGCCGAAGGAUGAGCCUGCACUUGAUUAGUUUGUUGGUGGGGUAAUGGCCUACCAAGACUUUGAUCAAUAGCUGAUCUGAGAGGAUGAUCAGCCACAUUGGGACUGAGACACGGCCCAAACUCCUACGGGAGGCAGCAGUAGGGAAUAUUGCACAAUGGAGGAAACUCUGAUGCAGCGAUGCCGCGUGAGUGAAGAAGGCCUUUGGGUUGUAAAGCUCUUUCGUCGGGGAAGAAAAUGACUGUACCCGAAUAAGAAGGUCCGGCUAACUUCGUGCCAGCCGCCGCAGUAAUAC